rnacentral:rRNA from 1 species
UACGUAGGUGACAAGCGUUGUCCGGAUUUACUGGGCGUAAAGAGCGCGCAGGCGGUCGUUCAAGUCGAGUGUGAAAGCCCCCCGGCUCAACUGGGGAGGGUCACUCGAUACUGAUCGACUUGAAGGCAGGAGAGGGUAGUGGAAUUCCCGGUGUAGUGGUGAAAUGCGUAGAUAUCGGGAGGAACACCAGUGGCGAAGGCGACUACCUGGCCUGUUCUUGACGCUGAGGCGCGAAAGCUAGGGGAGCAAACAGGG